rnacentral:rRNA from 1 species
AUUAGUGACGAUAUCGAAGUGGAAAUACCUGUUCCCAUCCCGAACACAGAAGUCAAGCACUUCAGAGCCGAAAAUAGUGUAAGCAAAAAUAGGACGUCGCUAAUU